UACAGAGGGCGCGAGCGUUGUCCGGAAUCACUGGGCGUAAAGGGCGCGUAGGUGGCCGACCAUAAGGCCGCUGUGAAAGUCUGGGGCUCAACCCCAGAUCGGCAGCGGCGACUGUGGGGCUUGGGUACUGUAGAGGCAGGUGGAAUUCCGGGUGUAGCGGUGGAAUGCGUAGAGAUCCGGAAGAACACCGGUGGCGAAGGCGACCACCUGGACGGAGACUGACACUGAGGCGCGAAAGCGUGGGGAGCAAACAGG
rnacentral:rRNA from 1 species